rnacentral:rRNA from 1 species
GUGGGGAAUAUUGCACAAUGGGCGCAAGCCUGAUGCAGCAACGCCGCGUGAGGGACGACGGCCUUCGGGUUGUAAACCUCUUUUAGCAGGGAAGAAGCGAAAGUGACGGUACCUGCAGAAAAAGCACCGGCUAACUACGUGCCAGCAGCCGCGGUAAUACGUAGGGUGCAAGCGUUGUCCGGAAUUAUUGGGCGUAAAGAGCUCGUAGGCGGUCCGUCGCGUCUGCUGUGAAAACCCGAGGCUCAACCUCGGGCCUGCAGUGGGUACGGGCGGACUAGAGUGCGGUAGGGGAGAUUGGAACUCCUGGUGUAGCGGUGGAAUGCGCAGAUAUCAGGAAGAACACCGAUGGCGAAGGCAGAUCUCUGGGCCGUAACUGACGCUGAGGAGCGAAAGCAUGGGGAGCGAACAGGAUUAGAAACCCGAGUAGUCC